rnacentral:rRNA from 1 species
AUUGAACGCUGGCGGCAUGCCUUACACAUGCAAGUCGAACGGUAACAGGUCUUCGGAUGCUGACGAGUGGCGAACGGGUGGGUAAUACAUCGGAACGUGCCUAGUAGAGGGGGAUAACUACUCGAAAGAGUGGCUAAUACCGCAUGAGAUCUACGGAUGAAAGCAGGGGAUCGCAAGACCUUGUGCUACUAGAGCGGCCGAUGGCAGAUUAGGUAGUUGGUGGGAUAAAAGCUUACCAAGCCGACGAUCUGUAGCUGGUCUGAGAGGACGAUCAGCCACACUGGGACUGAGACACGGCCCAGACUCCUACGGGAGGCAGCAGUGGGGAAUUUUGGACAAUGGGCGCAAGCCUGAUCCAGCAAUGCCGCGUGCAGGAUGAAGGCCUUCGGGUUGUAAACUGCUUUUGUACGGAACGAAAAGCCCCGGGUUAAUACCCUGGGGUCAUGACGGUACCGUAAGAAUAAGCACCGGCUAACUACGUGCCAGCCGCCGCAGUAA